GAGUUUGAUCUUUGGGGAGGAUGAACGCUGGCGGCGUGCCUAACACAUGCCUGUCGAGCGAGAAGCCUGCAGAAGAUUCUUCGGAUGAUUCAGUAGGUGGAAAGCGGCGGACGGGUGAGUAACCUCUUAGGCAACCUGCCCUUAGCAGAGGGAUAGCCUCGGGAAACCGGGAUUAAAACCUCAUAAAACUUCUGUUAGACAUCUAAUAGAGGUCAAAGAUUUAUCGGCUAAGGAUGGGCCUGCGUCUGAUUAGCCGGUUGGUGAGGUAACGGCUCACCAAAGCAAUGAUCAGUAGCCGACCUGAGAGGGUGAUCGGCCACAUUGGAACUGAGACACGGUCCAAACUCCUACGGGAGGCAGCAGUGGGGAAUAUUGCACAAUGGAGGAAACUCUGAUGCAGCAACGCCGCGUGAAGGAAGAAGGCCCUUGGGUCGUAAACUUCUGUUCUGAGGGAAGAUAGUGACGGUACCUCAGGAGCAAGUCCCGGCUAACUACGUGCCAGCAGCCGCGGUAAUACGUAGGGGGCGAGCGUUAUCCGGAAUGAUUGGGCGUAAAGGGUGCGUAGGUGGCAGAUCAAGUCUGGAGUAAAAGGUAUGGGCUCAACCCGUACUGGCUCUGGAAACUGAUCAGCUAGAGAACAGAAGAGGACGGCGGAACUCCAUGUGUAGCGGUAAAAUGCGUAGAUAUAUGGAAGAACACCGGUGGCGAAGGCGGCCGUCUGGUCUGGAUUCUGACACUGAAGCACGAAAGCGUGGGGAGCAAAUAGGAUUAGAUACCCUAGUAGUCCACGCCGUAAACGAUGAGAACUAGGUGUUGGGGGAAUAACUCAGUGCCGCAGUUAACGCAAUAAGUUCUCCGCCUGGGGAGUAUGCACGCAAGUGUGAAACUCAAAGGAAUUGACGGGGACCCGCACAAGCGGUGGAGCAUGUGGUUUAAUUCGAAGCAACGCGAAGAACCUUACCUGCUCUUGACAUCCCGGUGACCGGCAUGUAAUGAUGCCUUUUCUUCGGAACACCGGUGACAGGUGGUGCAUGGUUGUCGUCAGCUCGUGUCGUGAGAUGUUGGGUUAAGUCCCGCAACGAGCGCAACCCUUAUCUUUAGUAGCCAGCAUUCAAGGUGGGCACUCUAGAGAGACUGCCCGGGAUAACCGGGAGGAAGGUGGGGAUGACGUCAAAUCAUCAUGCCCCUUAUGACCAGGGCUACACACGUGCUACAAUGGCGUAAACAAAGAGAAGCGAAGUCGUGAGGCGGAGCAAAUCUCAAAAAUAACGUCUCAGUUCGGAUUGUAGUCUGCAACUCGACUACAUGAAGCUGGAAUCGCUAGUAAUCGCGAAUCAGCAUGUCGCAGUGAA
rnacentral:rRNA from 1 species